rnacentral:rRNA from 1 species
GACGAACGCUGGCGGCGUGCUUAACACAUGCAAGUCGAACGGAAAGGCCCUGCUUGCAGGGUACUCGAGUGGCGAACGGGUGAGUAACACGUGGGUGAUCUGCCCUGCACUUCGGGAUAAGCCUGGGAAACUGGGUCUAAUACCGGAUAGGAGCGAUUUUUAGUGUGAUGGUGGGAAGGUAUUUUCGGUGUAGGAGGAGCUCGCGGCCUAUCAGUUUGUUGGUGGGGGAAUGGCUUACCAAGGCGGCGACGGGUAGCCGGCCUGCGAGGGUGGACGGCCACAUUGGGACUGGGAUACGGCCCAGACUCCUACGGGAGGCAGCAGUGGGGAAUAUUGCACAAUGGGCGCAAGCCUGAUGCCGCGACGCCGCGUGGGGGAUGACGGCCUUCGGGUUGUAAACUCCUUUCGCUAGGGACGAAGCUUUUUGUGACGGUACCUAGAUAAGAAGCACCGGCUAACUACGUG